GUAUGUACAUACAUACAGUUUGACAGAUUGGGGUUAUCGUAGGGCACCAGUUUAUUUUAAUUUUUAUUAAAGAAAAAAAUCGUAACAUUGUGCGUUUAAUAUUCCGUGAAAAAGCAGUGAAGCGCGUUAUGGAAUUGCGUAUAUAGGAGAACACUUGAGAUAUUAUUUUUGGAAGUCGAAAAAAUGUGGAAUAGAAUCUGCUCGUGAAUGACAGGUUGUAGGUUGUUUUUUUUCUGAUAAAAGAAGUGAUUACAAACGAUGUCGUUUAUAAAAAAAUAGAAAUCGAUCGAUGGAGUCAAAGGAGAGGAGUACGAGGAUAAAAACAGAUGUGCACCACUAAAAUAUGAAAAGUUACUGUAACUUAUAGAGCAUUUCGUAUUAAACCGAGUAAAAAGCAUGGAAGAAAAAAAUACAGAGGAAACAAGAAAGUACAACUCUCCAAUCGCAGCUCAUAGCGUGCAAGAGGAACUGGAAGAGAUGCAAUCAGGGGCGUGAUGUAUUACAUAUUUUAGAUAAUGCAAGAACGACAGAUGAAUUGGUUGUGUACUUUGUUUAGAGCGAAGAAAAGCAUGAAUCACCAACCAUCGCUGAUGUGGAUAAGGACAACAGAUUUCGAGGCUAUACAAUAUAGGAAUUCGCAAGCUGAAAAUGAAGAUGAUGAGCAAAUUGUGGAAUCAUCGCAAAUGACGAACCUACGUUUGUGAUGACAGAGGCCGGAACGAGCAGAUAAACGUAAUGGGUACUAGAGAUAUAUAGCGAUGCUAAUUCAUGGUACAUCCUACCAACUCAGAAGACUGUUGAAAAACGUGCUUCUAUAAUAAUAAUUUGAUGGGAAAUUCUACAAAAGAAAAGCGAAUAAAGCGUUUACAUAUAGCGGCUAUUUAUAGGAUGCAAGAGGAACUAGAAGAAAUGCAAAUGAGGACGCGCAUAAAACCGCUCAGAUAUGUGUAUGUUUUUAUGCAGUUUUUGGUUCUGAAUCUCUAAGUUUUCAUAUACUUAAGAGCGGUGAUGGCUUGUUUGUAAAAUUAACUUAAUAGUCUUUAUAGGCCAAAGAUUAAUUGUUAAUGAAACUGUAAUGUAGGCAUAAAAAACGAUACUUAUUAUAAAUAAAAAAAACGAAGUAUUUCAAUGAA